CGCGUGAGCAACAUGCCCGUAUCAGGGGGAUAAUCCAUGGAAACGUGGUCCUAAUACCCCAUAGGUAAUUAUGUAAGGCAUCUUAUAUAAUUUAAAGCUUUGGUGGAUACGGAUUGGCUCGCGUGACAUUAGCUGGAUGGUAAGGUAACGGCUUACCAUGGCUACGAUGUCUAGGGGUUCUGAGAGGAAGGUCCCCCACACUGGAACUGAGACACGGUCCAGACUCCUACGGGAGGCAGCAGUGAGGAAUAUUGGACAAUGGAUGGAAAUCUGAUCCAGCCAUGCCGCGUCGCAGGAAGACGGCCCUAUGGGUUGUAAACUGCUUUUGUAUGGGAGCAAUAAGGGCUACGUGUAGUCCGAUGAGAGUACCAUACGAAUAAGCACCGGCUAACUCCGUGCCAGCCGCCGC
rnacentral:rRNA from 1 species